GAUCUGAAUCUCUUCUUUAAAUCUAUGAAACCUUUUCAGAGAUUAAAGAUGGACUUCUGGAGGAGAUGAGGAUCUAAAAAAAAAUAUGGAGAGGAAACUAUUUUUUCUCUUAUUUCUCUUUCCCAAAUCCUGAGGACUAAAUCCUAGGGUUUUUGAUCAUGUGCUCACCCAAGAGAAGAGAACUCUUCUCUUCUUUUUCAUGUCAAGAAACACACCCCAAAGCCCCUCAACAUGGAG
rnacentral:lncRNA from 1 species